ACUCAAAGGAAUAGACGGGGGCCCGCACAAGCAGCGGAGCGUGUGGUUUAAUUCGACGCUACACGAAGAACCUUACCGGGGUUUGACAUGUACGUGACCGCUUCAGAGAUGAAGUUUUCCCUGAAGUUUCUUUGGGGACACGUACACAGGUGCUGCAUGGCUGUCGUCAGCUCGUGUCGUGAGAUGUUGGGUUAAGUCCCACAACGAGCGCAACCCUCGUUCUUAGUUGCUAACGUUGCCGGAAGGCCACGUGCACUCUAAGAAGACCGCCGUCGAUAAGCCGGAGGAAGGUGGGGAUGACGUCAAGUCCUCAUGGCCCUUAUGUCCCGGGCUACACACACGCUACAAUGGCCUGAACAAAGGGUUGCUAAGCCGCAAGGUAGAGCCAAUCCCAAAAAUCAGGCCUCAGUUCAGAUUGCAGGCUGCAACUCGCCUGCAUGAAGACGGAGUUGCUAGUAACCGCAGGUCAGCUAUACUGCGGUGAAUACGUUCUCGGGCCUUGUACACACCGCCCGU
rnacentral:rRNA from 1 species